rnacentral:rRNA from 1 species
GAUGAACGCUAGCGGGAGGCUUAACACAUGCAAGUCGAGGGGCAGCACUGAUAGCAAUAUUAGGUGGCGACCGGCGGACGGGUGAGUAACGCGUAUGCAACCUACCCUUUACAGGGGGAUAGCCCGGAGAAAUUCGGAUUAAUACCCCAUAGAUCAGUGAUUCUGCAUGGGAUUACUGGUAAAGCUUCGGCGGUAAAGGAUGGGCAUGCGUCCCAUUAGCUAGUUGGUGGGGUAAAGGCUCACCAAGCCAACGAUCUGUAGCUGGUCUGAGAGGACGACCAGCCACACUGGGACUGAGACACGGCCCAGACUCCUACGGGAGGCAGCAGUGGGGAAUUUUGGACAAUGGGCGAAAGCCUGAUCCAGCCAUUCCGCGUGCAGGAUGAAGGCCUUCGGGUUGUAAACUGCUUUUGGACGGAACGAAAAGCCACUUUCUAAUACAAGGUGGUCAUGACGGUACCGUCAGAAUAAGCACCGGCUAACUACGUG